rnacentral:rRNA from 1 species
AACGAACGCUAUCGGUAUGCUUAACACAUGCAAGUCGGACGGACUAAUUAGGGCUUGCUCCAAUUAGUUAGUGGCAGACGGGUGAGUAACACGUGGGAAUCUGCCCAUCAGUACGGAAUAACUUUUAGAAAUAAAAGCUAAUACCGUAUAUUCUCUACAGAGGAAAGAUUUAUCGCUGAUGGAUGAGCCCGCGUCAGAUUAGGUAGUUGGUGAGGUAACGGCUCACCAAGCCGACGAUCUGUAGCUGGUCUGAGAGGAUGAUCAGCCACACUGGGACUGAGACACGGCCCAGACUCCUACGGGAGGCAGCAGUGGGGAAUAUUGGAAAAUGGGCGAAAGCCUGAUCCAGCAAUACCGAGUGAGUGAUAAAGGCCCUAGGGUUGUAAAGCUCUUUUAGCAAGGAAGAUAAUGACGUUACUUGCAGAAAAAGCCCCGGCUAACUCCGUG